UGAAAUAAUACCUGCCCAGUGACAAUGUUCAACGGCCGCGGUAUCCUAACCGUGCAAAGGUAGCAUAAUCACUUGCCUAUUAAUUGUAGGCUAGAAUGAAGGGGUUAACGAAAUAAAAACUGUCUCAAUUAGUCAACUAAAAAUUAUUUUCUAUCUGAAGAAAGGUAGAUAUCCUCGAAGGACAAGAAGACCCUAUAGAACUUUAUUUAACCUAUAGAACUUUACUGUAGCAAAAUUCGGUUGGGGCGACCCCGGGACUAUAAAUCACCCAAUAAAAUAAAGGUAAAUAAACCAAACAACUGACCCUUAUAAGAUCAUAAAACCAAGCUACCUUAGGGAUAACAGGCUAAUCCCACUUAAGAGUUCUUAUCAACAGUGGGGUUUGGCACCUCGAUGUUGGCUUAGGGAAUCUAUAUAGCGCAAAAGUUAUAUAAAGAUGGUUGUUCAACCAAUAAUCC
rnacentral:rRNA from 1 species